rnacentral:rRNA from 1 species
UACGAGGGACCUAGCGUUGUUCGGAAUCAUUGGGCGUAAAGGGUGUGUAGGCGGCCAAGUAAGUCAGUUGUGAAAGCCCCGGGCUCAACCCGGGAAGUGCUUCUGAUACUGCUUGGCUUGAGUAUUGGAGAGGUGAGUGGAAUUCCAGGUGUAGUGGUGAAAUACGUAGAUAUCUGGAGGAACACCGGCGGCGAAGGCGGCUCACUGGCCAUAUACUGACGCUGAAACACGAAAGCGUGGGUAGCAAACAGGGA